rnacentral:sRNA from 2 species
GCCGCCCCACCCUUGGAUUUUUUUAUUUUUAUCGAGAUAUAUUUUAGUUAUAUAUAUAUAUAUAUAUAUAUACGUCAUUACUUUUUUAAAAGAGAGAAAAAAAACAAGAAAAGAAAAGAAAAGAAAUUCCCUCCCUGCCUUUCAGCAAUGGUGACCCCCUUUUUGUACCCUUUUUUCCUCUAACUUCCUGUAAUAACAGUAAUAAGUAAUAAUGGUAAUAGUAAUAAUAUAUAGUGAAUAUGGAUCCGGGCAAGCGAGCGGUUCCCGGACAGAACUGAGAAAUGAAACUUAAAAGAGCAGCAAGCAGCAGUCUGUCUGGGAGGGGAGAAGCCGCCCCAUCCCUAAGCAAAUUGGAUGAAAGUCUUUGAUUGAUUCCACUGGC